rnacentral:lncRNA from 1 species
CACCGUCGACAUAUGCUGCCGCCUUUUACUCUAACCCUCAACAUUCGACUCCGCCUUUCAUCAGCCUGAUUUUGAGGCCACCGCGUCCUCCAAGGAACUAUUCAGGUAAAGAUUAAAGAUUGAUUUCUUUUCCAUUCUUUGUUUAGAAAAUCUUGUGAUUGUAGAGAAUAUUAGGGUUUAGAUUUUGGUUUGAAAUGUGUUGAUGUUAUGGCGAUAGAGUUAACUGCAAAAUGGAGAUUAGAAAUGUGAUGGAGUAUGAGACAGUUGCAAAGGACAAAUUGCCUAAGAAGGUAUAAGGAUCCCCAGGGAAUCAAAAUCUGCUCCUUGUCGCUCUUUUCACAGAAAAUGGAUAGGUGGAUUAAUCUCUUUAUUGGAUCCGUGGGGGGUGGGCAAAACUUAGCAAAAUUGUGAUGUUUAGUUUGACGGGUUUCAUCUGCUUCUUGCUCUGUUCUCAAAAUCUGCUCCUUGGCUUUUUUCGCAAAAUCUAGAAUUCCUGAUGAUUCCAUUUCCUUCCAUUCCCUUUUGUUAAAAGGUUUAAUAAACAUGUGGGACAACACAUCUGUUGUACAAUGUUCUACAUAAAAACUCUAAUUUUAGAUUCUGCAUAUCCGAUAUUUGAAAUGAGUGUUGCAAAUAUGACAUAAUUAAUUAUCAUAUAGGGUAAGGAUUUUGAGUCUUUUUUAUUAUCCAGAAACUAUCAAAACAAUGGGAUGGUGAGAAUGUAUAUACUGCUGAUGGGUAUCCUUACUUACUAGUGGAUGAUGAAAAAGGGAAUCCAGGACCCCUCCCCUAAGAAAAGUUACAAUCGUAACAAAGAUUGGCAGUUUGCUACCUUUUAGCUCAAUAAGGCAUUAUUUUUUUCUCCUUUGAGAUGCAAAAUUAGGUUCUUCUUGUAAGAAUUGAUUGGAGCUUAAGUGAAUAAAACAACUGCAUUGAAUCUAGCUGUUUCUUCAAAUUUCUCCCUGCAGAUUGUUCACAGUUCAGGAGCUAGGGAUCUGAUUUUUGUUCUCACUCUUCAUAGUGAAGCUUCAAUUCCCUUUUUUGUUCACAUGUUCUCAUUCUUUUCUGUUUUUGAUCUUCAAUUUGAAUUUUUAAUCACGUGAUUUUUUUUUUUUUUCUGUACACUUACUUUUUUCUCAAGGCAAUUAUUUUAGCAAAGUAUGUAGCUAAUUGUGCUAUUUUUACUUUCAAAUAUGGAUUUUAUGUCCAUUUCCCUUUUAUCUAAUUCAAGAACUGCUUGAAUUUCAGAUAUUUUUUUGCUGUGGUUUGUUGCCAGAGUAUUGAGAUCAAUGAAAGGUGAAAACAUGAAUAAAAGAUGAUGACACCUUCCCUCUCCCUCCCUCUCCCUCUCUCUCUCUCUCUCUCUCUCUCUCUCUCUCACGUCUAUAAAUACAUGCAGAAAAGAGAAGAAUUGAACUGUUUUUAGGGGCACACACACACACACACGUCUAUAAAUACAUGCAGAAAAGAGAAGAAUUGAACUGUUUUUAGGGGUUGGGGGGGAAGAAGAAGCUGAAUUGAGCCACUUCAGUGGACUUCUUGGCUCAUGUAUUUGUUGUGCUCACUUCAUUCACUGAUUUGGCAUAGUGUGUACUUUCUUUAGUUGUCAUAACUCAUGAUGAUUCUGAUCAGUUUCAUCAUAAUUGUGUUGAUUGAGGUACCAAAUCCAUGUUCUAUAGGUGUAGUGGUAAACCAACUAGCCUUACCCAAGUUUCCUUCCUUCAAUGCCUUCCCUAUAACAGCCUCCAAUUGGGCACUAAUCAUCAAAAAACAAAGCCUUUUGAUUUUAGGAUCUCCAACCCCUUAGCACCCGAUCAGCCUCUGUAAAAGAAGCAAACUCAAACAGGAACAAGGCUCCAAAUCCAGUUUGCAAGGGUAAUUCUACAAACCACAUCUAGGGGCAGUUUUUUCUGAAACACAGUUCUCCAAUGGAUUGUUUUAGUUCCUUUCCUGUGCUUUAGUCUCUUUGGGUUGUUUAUACUGCAUCAUUGUUGUUUUCUGCUGCUUGUAUAAUUAUUUGAAAAGUUAAUGCUGAUUUUGAACCAUGCCUUCUCACAGGAAUGAGGUGACUUGAGGAGCUCUUUAGAGGUGGAGAUGACAAAUAAGAUUGAAAGAUUUUGCCAUGUUGAAAUUUUUAGCAUCAGCUUGGUUAGCUAUCUAUUGAGCAUAUGUGUUAACUCAUUUGUAAGUUUCGUUUUGUGGAUUAUGUAUUAUUUAUACGGAUGAACUAUAUGGUAAUUGAAAUGUAAAAUAAUAUAGAAAGUAUGAUAUUUAUUCAUUUUUCUAAAUAAAUUCUCUGUAAUUAGUUUAAUUUAUAAAAAUGUUAUAUGUUUGAGAAACAGCAUCUAAAAUUGCGUUUCACAUAAUUAGACUUUCUUGAUGCAAAGUGCCAAGUCCUUCUUGAUGUAAGUUGCAUAGCAGCAGCUAAAUGAACCAUCUCGUGAAUCUAGGCAUGAACAUCUAUGCUAUUUUUGGUUCUUGAAAAGUACUAAGGGAAAAAAAUAUUAAGGAAAAUGAUUCUUUCAUGUUUGGUUUACCAUAUAAAAUACAAAAUAAAAAAAAAAAUUCAAAUACAUUUAAAAUUAGAUAAAAGCUUAUGCAUUUUCAAAUUACUUAAGCUUAUUACAGAGAAAGAAAAAUAAGUUUGAAGAAACAUGUAAAAAUAAUUUAUUAACUUUAAAUGUACUUUUUAUUUUUCUUUAUUUUUUCUUUCCUUUUAUUUUUCCUUUCUAUUUUUUUUUUCUUGCAUUUCUCCUUAAAUUUUCUAGGAAUCAAAUAUAAGGCUACAAAUUUUAUAGUGGUACUUGAUGUCGGUGAAAUCUAACACUAAAGCACAUGUAGGCAGGUUUUGGAUGGUGCACCAAUCCACUACAUCAUAUAUAUAUAUAUAGAAAUCAAUAAGAAUAUAUUAGGCAAAUAGAUCGACAAAAAAAGAGAAAGGGCGGCUUCUUAAGGCGGCAAUCCAUUUGACACUAUUGAUUGAGUUUCUUAAUCAAUAUUUCAAUAAAUUUCUAUUCGCUGAAUUAUGUCUCUAUCAGAUUGUUUGCCAUUACUUAAUUUAUUGAGGAGAUCAUUUUGUUUGAUUUACUUUUACAAAUGAGAUGGAUGUUAUAUUUGGGCUCAUUACUAAUUUGGAGAUUUUUUUUUAACAGAUCCAAGAUGGUUAUCCAUGACUCAACCUUAUCGAUUCACCAUGUCAUUUACAAUGUUGUGGAAUCAACCUCCUAGAACAACAGAAUCUCAUGUCUAUUCACACUACCACUUUCAUCAACAAUGUGGGAAUCAACCAUGGACAACAAUAAAAUCUCAUGCCUACUACCUUAGUGCCAUUCUUGCCCUUCUUACUAUCAAUGUUUCACUACUCAUCAACCUCACUGAUUUGAAGUUUCGGAAAGAGGCUGACUCUGUAUUUCAAGCUCAGCCCAUAAACACAAAGGUGGUUGUUGUUAGCUUACUAGCAUUUGUCUUGGCAUUUGGAAUUGAGUUAACCUUCCAUACGCGUCAUCUCUCUCCUACUUGUGCUGCUCUCCUCCGUACUACCAUGGUGUUUUUCAGUUCCUUCUCAUUGGCUUCAUUGGCAUCGCUUGUUUCUUGGGGCAUUAUGACCCCUUCUGUUUGUCAUCUAUGCCUUGCUAGCACUUUGCAACAUGCAAAACCUAGUCUAGAAAUGGUGUCUCUAGGUUCACCAUAAACUCGUGUACAACCUUGAGACUGUAUUGACAGGUAUGUGACAAUAGAAGCUGCUUUACUUUUACCCCCUAAUCAUAAUGGGUACACAUCAUAGAGUGCUUAUUGCUACAAUUUCAUGGGUUCCCCCUGUCUAAUUUCUCAAGAAUUUUGAUUGUAGUUUUUGUUAGCUUGAGUAUACAAUUAAAUAAGUAAAAAGAAUUGAUGCUUGGUGAAAUCUAGGCUUGAUUUCCAAAUAUUUAGAACCCAACCCACUAAAUCUAGAGAAGAAGCGUGGAUUUCUAUAACAAACAUGCAGCGACUUUGUUUGGUGCCUGACAUACCACUCCCAUGCCACAUCGAAUUGUAUUUCCUUAGAGGUUUGAAAGAAAUGUUGGAGUGGUAAUGAAAUUGUAUGUUGUUUUAAUAAAGAGUUCUACUUAUGCAUCUAGUCCUUAAUGAUCUUCAAGGAGCCUAAUUUCUCCAUAAUGUUUGCAUAUAUUUUUUUCCUAUUUGCUUCCAUGAUUGGGUAAAUUAGAUUUAUAAGUAGAAGUGUAGUCUAACAUAAUCGCUCUGGCUUCAAUGUUACCACUAUGAGAUAGAGGCAAAGAGUGUACAACCUAUUGUGUUUAAGUACUUUGGUAUACAUCUAAUUAAGAUCUUAACUAAAAGGGUGUUUUUCUCUAGCCAAGUUUGAGGGGUCCUUUUCAAUGCAAGCCUUCCACUUUUACCUAAUAGUAACAGGAACUUUAUAGAGAAAUGGAAAAAUUAAUUUAAUUUAAAUAUGAAAGCAGUUAGUGCUUUAGAUAGAUUGGCAAUUCUGGAUCAAUUCCUAUAUAUCCUCUCAAUUUAGUCUUUCAAAAUUUUCCAUUGGAUUAAUUGCCUAUUCAAAGGUGAUUAUGCUUAAGGUUGUUAGAGGCUAAGGUAAAUGGUUUGAGAUUGGAGAUGGACAAAUCGAACCAACAGUUUUUUAAAUUAUGGGUAGAUGGUUAAAUUUUGUAAUAAAAGAUCAAGGGUGUUAAAAGGUUUCAUUUUUUGGCCUAGUGUUUUUUGCUCUUUCUAAUUGAUCUAACAUCAAAGUUGGAUCUAUCAACGUAAAAAAUUCAUUGAAAAUAUUCUAAAUGAUUGUAAAGAUUGUAGAUGGACAAAUUGAAUCAACAGGUUUUUUUUAUUUUAUUUAAAUUAUGGGUAUCUUGAUUAAAUUUUGCAAUAAAAGAUCAAGGGUGUUAAAAGGUGUCAUUUUUUUAGCCUAGUGUUUUUUGCUCUUUCUAAUUGAUCUAACAUCAAAGUUGGAUAUAUCAACAUAAAAAAUUCAUUGAAAAUAUUCUUGCUGAAUUACAAUCAUUACAGUUUCUACUAUUUAAAGCUAAAUUUCCAAAUUAGGGUUUGAGGAAACAGAUUGGUCAUUAAGACUCCCUUUUUGAGCAUCUUCUUCUCACCAAAUUGGCAGUGUUUGUUUCCUAAGAAAAUCUACUCCCGUUUGAAGCUGGAAAACAUGUUUUAGUUUAGUUUUCUUUCAAAAAGGGGAUUGAUUAAUCUUGUCAUUCUAUCAUUUCUCUCAUUGUUGUUUGUAUAUUGGAAUGAAACCCUUACUUCUUGAUUGGGCAUCAAGAAUUUACCAAGAUCAAGUUUGGCGGUAACUCCAAGUUUGUCCUUGAUGAAGGUGUAUAGUUGAAGUUCGAAGGUACUUGUUAUGUAGUCCAAAAGAAGAUUGGUAAACUUGAGUUAGGUAAUACCUAGUUAAAAGGCUAUCGAGGCUUUAGUUAUUUUUUUUUUUCAUGAAGGAAUUUUUCAAUUGCUUGUGAGCUUGUGGUUUUUUGUUAAUUUAAAGAUCUUCCACAUAGUGUUUUAAAAGGCUAUUGGGGCUUAUGCCUUAAGGCUCAUCUCAAGGCGAGGCUCUGUAACUUAGCCUCGAGGCUUAUAGCCUUGGUUAGGGUAGCCUCAAAGCUUUUAAGGCCUAAGCCUCAAAUAUCCAAAAUUCAGCCUUUAUAGGCUUUUGGUAUAUAUCUUGUAAGAGGCUUAAGUCUCAAUAGUCGAUCAGUUUUAAUGGGUUCUAUCAUUUUUGCUUUUGUGGGCUUUUGAUAUAGAUUUCAUAAAUUAUGUAUUGAGUCUAACUUAGUUGCAAAAUCAGGUUAGUUGACUUCUAGUUAACAAUUUAAAUAGAAGGGAAAAAGAAAGAUCAAGAAGCAUUGGGGAAUUGUUGAUUGCCCUAAAGGCUAAUCUCAUGUAUAAUCACUAUCUUAUUAUUGAUGAAUAAAAAAUAAUACUACCACAAUUGGUGGACGAAGAAGAAGAAUAGGAAGAUAUUAACACUAAUGGAGAGUGUAAUAUAGCAAUUGGAUGUCAUUAUAUUCCUUAGGGGAUCCUACUAGUGAUAAUGAUAGUAAUGUUAAAAAUUAGUUGAUAAAACUAUGAAAGAGCAUUUGAUCAAAAACAAAAAUUAGAAACUAUUAACAAUGACAAAUAAUUAAUUUUAUCAUUAUAAAGUUUAUACCUUUUUUAUUAUUUAAUUUUCUUGCGACUUUAUGAGUAAUUAUUUUUUAAAUUUUUUUAUAUAAUUUAUUUAUUUAUUAUUUACUUGUUUAAGUUGACGUUUAUGCCUCAUUCUACCUUAUUUACCCUUUGCCUCAUUUGGGAAAAAUGCUUCAAGAACACCUUUAGCCUUUAAAGCAUUGCUUCCACAUAAAACCCUUGUGUCAUUAUCACUUUUUUUUUUCUUCAUUUGGUUAUUUUUAUCUAUUUAUCUAUGAUUGUGAAUUUUCAGCUGCUACAAUGAUUUGGAUUGUUGAUGACAUUGGCUGAAUUUUGUCCAUUGUGCUCUAAAAUAAUUUCAUAUUUGUCUAAGGAUUGGUUGGGCACAUGAAUAUUUGAUGCUUCUCAUUGAAAGGUUAAAUAGCUCUUGAUUGGGGAGUGUUGGUUCAUUGCAUGUGACUUGCAUUGCUUUAAUUGUGAGGAGAGUGUUAGUGCAUCCAUUCUUGCAUGUGUUUUGAUUGUUUGCUGAAAAUAUAAUAAGGUAAAAACGAGGAAAAAAAAAUCAAGGGAGUGAUAGCCCUUUCAUUGGGAAACAUCCCAAAGUUCAAAAGGCACUUAUUUACCUCUAUCUAGGUGUAAUCCAUAGUUGAUAUUCAUCUACAAAAAAAAAAAAAAAAAGAAUUGAUUGCUAAUACUUUUCUUUGCAAAAACAUUAUAUAGAAAUAAAAAAAUAAAAGCAAAUGGAACCAAACAAAUUUAAAUAGUAGAGGUUAAAGAAAAGGGCAAUCCAAUAAUUUAUGGAACCUUCUACAUUAUUGCUACUUGCAAGGUCCAAAGAGACUUGGAGAAGAAUGGAAACACUAAAAGAACUCUUCACGUGGAAUAAAGAACUUGGAGAAGAUUACAAAUAGGCACAAUCAUGUAAAGAAUUUCAGUUUUCUCUUAGGGGAGAGAGCAUGCAUGUGUCUAAGCUUCUAAUUAUGCUGUACUUCUACUUUUCUUUAAGUGUUGUGAGACGAGCAAAAACCUCAUCAUAAUCCGGUAGCUUUAGAUGUAUGUGGUUCAAUCAGUUCAACAUGUCUAGUUUAGAGGAAGUUGCAUGAAUAUGACCUUCUAUCAUCUCAGUUGAACUAGUUGGUCCCAAUAAAAUCAGUGCUUACUACCAGAGCUUCUAGCCCAAAGUUGUUCAGAGAAUGUCCUUCAUGAAGGGUGUGGUUCUUUAAUCAUGUGAGUCAACCACCAAAAAGGGAUAAUUGAUCUAAAAGGUUGGACGAUAUUCCUUGGAGGCUGCAAACCUUUUAUCAUGGGAGUUAACCUCCAGAGAUGGACCAUUGUCAAAAGAACGAGAGUUGAAGCAUAGACCAGUUCGAUACAUCCUAGCCAUCCAUGCUCAUCAACAACAUGAAAAAAAUUAAGGCCCCUAAGGGGCAAGCAUGGCAAUGCUCAAAUGAUCUAUGAAAUUGGCUAAAGGGUAUUAGGCUGAGAUAAAGUGAUGUUGAGGAUUAUGCUAAGGGAUGACUGGCUAAUGGGACUACGCCAUAUUGAAAAGCAGUGAAAGUCAAACCAAUUGGGGUUGGUCCAUUUUGAAUAGAUUUGUGAUACUACCUUCUGCAUAUCCCAAGAGGUUUGCACCUGUACAGGGACAUUGCUGUCAACCUCUCGACGGAUACUACUCUUGAUCAACAUAGGAUACUACUACUCUUGUUACCACUCUCAAACUAUCCAUCAAUAUUUUUCUUUGACUUAUUUAAGGAUAAAUUUGACUGCUAAAGAUGUUUUUCUUGAUCACUCAAAUAGAAUUAUUAUCAUGAGUUGCAUUAAAUAAAUGCAAGACAUGUUGAGGCCAUUCUUUAAGUCACAAUUUACAAGUGUAGGAGACUUGCACUUGAUGAAUAUGUGGUCAAGGAUGGGGCAACAUCAGAUGGUGGUCACAUGAAAAUAUUCUUGAGCAGAAAGAGAUUCCAAGUGCCUUACUCUUUGCUUAAGGUAGAUUUUGUAAGGUAGAGCAUACCCUGUGUUGUGCCUAUUGCCCAAGUCCAAUUAUAUUUGAUGGGACCUUGUCCAUUUGGUUUCUUAGAACCUGAAUUAUGUGGGAGAUGGUGAUUGCAGUAUGCCACUUCUCAAUCCUGAGAGAACUGUGGACAAUGUAGGUCCUCCAGAGUUUUGGUCUAAUAGACCGACCUUGGAAAAGGAGGCAAAGGGGGAAGAUUUUAUGUAGGAAAGGGAACUGAAAUGGAGAAAUUAUAUAAAUAACUACAACACAAACAUCCAUCCUCUAGGUACAAAACUCUUUGCAUGCUACUUUAACAUUUUUGUUCUUCAUUCACUUGCUCUAUUGCUUUAGGUUUUGUUGUUCAUUUUCUUUUAGUUGUAUAAUUGACAUGUGUAUGUACUCCUAGGAUUUGGGCAAUUCCACACUUGGGGCCUUGAUUCUAAUGGAGAAAGCAACUCAAUCAGGAAAAGACGAAAGCAAAGUACAUUUUCUUUAGAACCAAUGGAACCUGUUUGUUCAUUAAUACUGGAGGGGGGAGCCAGUAAUGCGACAUGAUGCCAGCCCAAGAAAGCACCAACUCAGCAUGAGCAGCAUGAGGAACUGGGCUCUCAUACAGGUAUUAUAUCUAUCAUCCAUCGGUAUACGUAGUAUGCAUAUUAUAUUUUAAUAGUGAUAUUAGAAGAAAAAUUAUCUGAUACUGUCCUUACACAUCAUAAUUUUGAGAGGUGGUGUAAUCAUUCAUUUCCAAAUCCCAACUAGGUGAACUUAGCUCUCACAACUUAAAACAAUAAAUAAAAAGGAAAAUUAUUCAGAUUUCAAGAUAAUUAAGUGAAAUCUUUGCUAUUAGAUAAAUAUUUUUCAUCCACCUCUUUUACUAUAUUUUAUAUCAUCCACUUACAUGGCAAGGAUGACAACGGGGCAGGUUUUCUUCUGAUACGUAACCAAUCUGCUGUUAGAUAGAAGAGUCAUAAACAAGUUAAGGACAAGUUCAAAAUUUUUUAUUUAUUGGGAAACCAAACUUGGGGAACCUGCAACUAUAUGAAGUCAGUAACAUGUAUCCAUGAUGGUUAAGGGUAAAGUUGGAGGGCUUCUUCUAAUGUGCCAUUGUUGCAUUCCUGUGAAUACAGUCUGUUCGUGCUAUCUUAUGCAAGUUGUCAACAGAGAGAGCAUGGGCAUAGGUGACAUAUAGAAGGGGUUGCCAUGCAUCUGAUGCUAGAAAACGAGUGAAAGGGAGAUAGAAAACACCAUGGGAGUGCAGAGGAGAGCAGCAGAAGAAGAAUGGAAAGUGAAGUCAAUUCCUAAUGCCAAGACAAAUGCUAGCAAGCUAGCAACAACGACCUUGGUGGUUAUGGAGUGGGCUUGAAAUGCAGAGUUUGGCUUAUUCUGAAACGCUCCAAAUCAAUGAGGUAGAGAAGCAGGGGGAGAAUAAAGGUUAGAAGGGCGAGAAUAAGGUUAUGUGAAGUAGAAAUGUGAUAGCGUAGAGAAUAUACAUGGUUGUGUAAUAAGAAGGGACAAGCUGAUGCGAACAGCUGGUAAAUGACACCGUGAGGAGAACCAUGUUAGUGAUGUGGUGCGUUUCAUGCAAACCAGAAAAGUGAUGCGGUGCGUUUUAUGCGAAAGGAAUGGAUAGGCACGCCAGCUAGCACUUAUUUCAUUUCUUUCUGUCAUUUCCUUAUCUUUUCCUUUCUUCAUUUCUGUUAUUCCUGUGAGAAGCGGCAUAGCGAUAUUCUCGGGA